rnacentral:rRNA from 1 species
CCUACGGGAGGCAGCAGUGAGGAAUAUUGGUCAAUGGACGAGAGUCUGAACCAGCCAAGUAGCGUGAAGGAUGACUGCCCUAUGGGUUGUAAACUUCUUUUAUAUGGGAAUAAAACGCUCCACGUGUGGGAUUUUGUAUGUACCAUAUGAAUAAGGAUCGGCUAACUCCGUGCCAGCAGCCGCGGUAAUACGGAGGAUCCGAGCGUUAUCCGGAUUUAUUGGGUUUAAAGGGAGCGUAGGUGGAUUGUUAAGUCAGUUGUGAAAGUUUGCGGCUCAACCGUAAAAUUGCAGUUGAUACUGGCAGUCUUGAGUACAGUAGAGGUGGGCGGAAUUCGUGGUGUAGCGGUGAAAUGCUUAGAUAUCACGAAGAACUCCGAUUGCGAAGGCAGUUCACUGGACUGCAACUGACACUGAGGCUCGAAAGUGUGGGUAUCAAACAGGAUUAGAUACCCGAGUAGUC